AUGGGUAACGUCUGCCGCCGGGAAACCGCCCGACCGGAGCUGCACCACUGUCCAAAACCACCACCACGCCUGGAUGAAAAUGGGGCAUGUUUAUGGAAAUGGCCAAAAAUUUGGAGCUGCCGCCACAGCUCUGACCCAGCCCGCCAAUCCACCGGUCCAAGCUUCCGGCCACAUCACGGAUCCGCGGCAUCCCUCCCCCGGAUUGCCGUCUCGACCGUCCACUCCAUCCGCAUCCAACGGCAGGCACGCCUCCUCCAGCUUCUCGUCCCCGUUAAAACGCCCCUCGCCCCUCCUUCGCAAAUGACAGCACCAGUAGCCACCGCCGUCCCUCAGAUUCCACUACAUCCGCUCGCAGCUUGAGAUCGUCAGCCAUGUCCGGGCGCGGCAAGGGCGGGAAGGGACUCGGCAAGGGGGGCGCCAAGCGCCACCGGAAGGUGCUGCGGGACAACAUCCAGGGCAUCACCAAGCCGGCGAUCCGGCGGCUGGCGCGGAGGGGUGGCGUGAAGCGCAUCUCGGGGCUCAUCUACGAGGAGACCCGCGGCGUGCUCAAGAUCUUCCUCGAGAACGUCAUCCGCGACGCCGUCACCUACACCGAGCACGCCCGCCGCAAGACCGUCACCGCCAUGGACGUCGUCUACGCGCUCAAGCGCCAGGGCCGCACCCUCUACGGCUUCGGCGGCUAGGUCCGGCCGACUGUCGCCUGUCUUCGUCGCAGCCUGCAGAUUCCAAAAGCUUGAUGGAACCCUGACUUGUUCAGUUCGCUAUUUCCUCUGUCUGUAGUUCGUUGGAAAUGAAACUUGUCUCUGUCAGUCUGUCGUAAAUCUGAUUUUGUUCGCUGGUUGGUCUUC